UACGUAGGGACCAAGCGUUGUUCGGAUUUACUGGGCGUAAAGGGCGCGUAGGCGGCGCGGUAAGUCACUUGUGAAAUCUCUGAGCUUAACUCAGAACGGCCAAGUGAUACUGCAGUGCUAGAGUGUGGAAGGGGCAAUCGGAAUUCUUGGUGUAGCGGUGAAAUGCGUAGAUAUCAAGAGGAACACCUGAGGUGAAGACGGGGUUGCUGGGCCAACACUGACGCUGAUGCGCGAAAGCCAGGGGAGCAAACGGG
rnacentral:rRNA from 1 species